GGUGACUAUCAAUUAUCAUCAACUUUUGCAACAAAACUGUAUGUUAAUUUAGACAUUCUAGAAGUUGCAGAAAUUAGAAACAAAUUGAACACCACAAUAGACGUAAACGUUAAAGAAAUACUGCCAAAGAGACUACCUAAAGUACAAGAUGAAGAACUUGCGUCACAAAAUAAAAAAAACAGUUGCUGAAAUAAAGAGCUUGGAAUGGAACUCAGAGACAAAGGACUUGAUGGUAACAUGCAAUGCCAAAAUCAUUAAUAUCAACAACAAAUAUGGAUGGUAUUAUGUUGCAUGUCUUAUAUGCAAAACACAAGUGAAAUAAGUCAAAGGAGUUUUAUGGUGUGAACGUUGUAAAAAUGAACCAAAGUUUGCAGUCCCAAGGUAAUGAAAAAAAAAAAUUGAUUUGUAGACAUAAACACAAAAUAUAUAUAAUAUUCUACUAACAACUUUGUAUCUAAAAUAGCUAUAGAAUGCAAGUCCAAGUACAAGACGAGACCAGGUCAACCACAUUCAUAUUGUUUGACAAAGGAGCUGAGAAAAUUAUAUCGAAAACUACAAAAGAACUUGCAGAGAUGCAAGAAGAGAUCUUGAAAUUAGAUGAGAAUAUUUUACUGAAAGAGAUUCAAAAAAUCAUUGGCAACGAAUAUUUGUUCCAACUGCAUCUUGAUGAAUAUAACUUGAAGUAUGGAAAAGAAAAUUACAUGGUUUCGAAGAUUUUGGAGAUAGAAAUUUCACAUAAGCAAAAUGACUCACGUAAAGUUGAGGAACGUCAGGUAAUUGAAGCAUACUUACUUCACCUUGGUUACUAUAUGAUUCAAACAUUAGUCUACACAUAAUUUACGAUACAUAUUUAACUGAUAUGUAAGAAUGCAAAUUAUUGCAGGACAUAGUGGAGGAAAUUGUAAGAAAACCAAAGAAGGACAAGUACAUAGCCGGUCAAAAAAUAGAAAUAGGAGAAACAUCUAUUGAACGACCUGAAUUAACUGCUCCUAUAACUACUGAAGAUGGAAGAACUGGUCAUAAAAGAAUGCCACUGCAAAUGCUUCAAAAACGUCAAAAGGGUACUAAACAAAAUGCAUCAAAGAAAAAAAAAAUCUGAACUCUAAUGUAUAUACUACCUUACUGAAUGUAAUUAUGUUUCUUUAGAACUACCUUACUGAAUGUACAUAUGUUUCUUUAGAACUACCUUAUUGAAUGUACGUAUGUUUCUUUAGAAGAGUAAACUGAAUGUAAACAGAAUCUACUGUUAAGUUACUAUGACUGUAUUAGUGCUUUUUAAGUAUUUUCUUUUGGUUCAAACACAAGCUUCUGAUAUGUGAGUGUAUAUUUAUGUUAAAGCUCCUGCUAUAUAUUGAUCAUAGAU